rnacentral:lncRNA from 1 species
CUGAAAGCCUCACUCUAUGCCACCCUGACCUCACAAGCUUGGUCAGGCACACCUGUAGCCAGCCCCUAAGCAGGCGUGGCUACAGCUUCCCCUACAAGACUGUUCUACUGGUACACCCUAAAGAGCUAUCCAUUUCUGCCUCUUCAGAGCUGUGAUCACAAGCAUGAGCCAACAUGCCUAGUCUUAACGGGCUCAGGGACUGAGCCAACAGCAGCAGGUGCAGCAGCGGGUGCAGCAGGGGAAGCAUCAGGAGGAUCUGCUUCUGCAGCAACAACAGCAGCAGGAGCUACAGCAGGAGCACCCUGAGGGACAGCAGCAGAAAUAGCAACGGCUGCUGCAGCAGCCGCAGCGACAGCAGGAGAAGCGGUGGCAUGAGUGGCAACUGCAGCGGCGGCGGCAGUAGCAGCAGCAACAGUAGAAGGGGCUGCAGCUGACGUAGUAACAGGAG